UGAAUGAAAUAAGACUGAAGCUUUUAGACUAUGAAUGGUGCAGAGGCUUCACAUAUUCAUUGACUCUCAUGUAAUGUAACAACUAGCUGAAGACCGGCUGUGCUGUUCAUCACCUUCCUACAGCAGAAAAUCAUGGAGAGCCCAGUUCCACCACCAGUUUCUAAAGAUACUUUAGAAAACAGCAUGCUCAUCCCUGUAUCACAACAUCCAGAAUAUGAAAGCACACAAACUCAGUCGGACAUGAACUUUGAUAAGGUUAAACUACAGCAGCCAAAAAAACAAGAUCAUGGACAAAGAGAUGCAGCAGAGUUAUGUGACACCUGCAUGCGCUGUCAAGAUGGUUGUUUUAUCCCUUUUUUAUGUUGUUGUAUUUGUUUGCUUGAAAGCAGGUGAUGGUUAUCAGAGAAAUUUAACAGUAUGACAGCUAGACUCACUGAUACAAAUAAACAGACUUGAUGUGA